UGAGUCGUAGACUAAUUGGCAAGUCACCUAGAUUUGAGCUAGGAGUAUAUAUGUUCAAAUCAUAUCGACUCAG